UGUUUUAGUUAUUGUUUUUUUCGCUUAAGUUUAAUUGUCGGUUUUUUGUAAGCAUUCUUUUCAAAAGUUUAAGGUAUUGUUACCAGUUGUGUACAACUAUCGAUAUCGAUAAGUGAAUUAGUAGCAGCGCAGUAGAUUUAAAUUACCUGCAGUUGCAGUUGCAGACAACCAACAGCUGAUUAAUGCGGCGAUUGCAACUGUACAUAUAUACGCACUUAUGUAUUAAAGUUUUCGACGAUCAAGAGAUCAGAUAGGGUGACAGCCUACUUCUUAGACGUAAGAACAUGACGAUGUUGAUGCGAAGUUAAAGUCGAGACUAACUAACUAUUCAAUAGAAUAAUUCUCCUGUGGCCGCAACGACCCUUGGACAAUAUUGCGCAGCCCACUGCAUAUAGGCGGAUUUUGAGUCAAUCUUAAGGGGCCAUUUCGUGACUAUGUGAUUCCAUAUAUGCACCAUUCUGGAGUCCUUAGUGCGUGCCAGCGUUUUGCUCGCCUUCUCUGCAUCGAAAAACAGUGGCCACUGCUGAUAUGGCACCUCGUAAAAUGAGUUAACAUCGAACACUUUAAAGCCCUGACAGCGAUCGCGAUUAUUCAUCAUGAGGGUAACAUUUUUUGUACCACAAAUCUCUGACAAUACGCGCACUAAGCCCAUGGGUCCAUUAUGGGCCCACGCGUCGCCCUGAUAAUUAACCUGGAAGUCCUGCAGAAAUAAUUCGCCAAGCUGAUGGCCAAAUCCGUUGGGUUCCAAUCCUAUUACACUAUUGCCGAUGCUAUCUGCUCUCUCAGCACCUGCAAAGUUUAGUGGCUCAUCCUCCAAGCUGUGGAGCUGCAGGACGUCCAUGUCCAGGUAGACGCCGCCAAAGCGAUAUAGUGUAAUUAAUCGGAGUAGGUCGGAUAGGUGAAACAUCAGAUAUCUGAGUGGAUAGACAACACAUCGCCUUUCUUGAGCCAAUCCGCGAUGGGCGUAUCCUGUGCAUAUCGAUCCAAAUUUAGCGACCGAAAUUGCACAUUCUUGUAGCUUUGAAGUGCAUCAAUGAUGGGAAGUGAUUCGUUACGGUGGGUGGGGCAGGCAAACAAAACAAAUACUUGGAAAUUUGGAUUAUGGAAGGCGGCAGAUUCAAUGGGACAAGCCUGAUGCGCCUUAAUACUACGCAUAUCGUACUGGGAUCCCGAACGGUAGCAACUACUCUCAAUAAAAAAUAUUGUUCGUCCAGGCGGAGGUUUUGAGCUGGACAAUAGAAUAUCCUCUAUAAUUGUAGGCGCCGGUUCCUCCGCAUGCUGAGGCUUUGAGUCAAAUUUUUUGAAAGAAAGAACUUUUCUCUCAUUUAAGAUCAAGAAUAUUGAGCUGUAAAGGAACACAACAGCAACCACGAGCACUAAUACGAGAUGUCGUUUAUUGAUCAGAUAGGGCGACAGCCUACUUUUAAGACUCAAGAACAUCAUGAUGCUGAGCGAAGGUAAAGACAAGACUAACUAACCAUUGGAUCGAUAAGAAAAAUUAUGGUCCGUGUGACGAUCAAAGCAGCUUUUUUCAGCUGGGUCAAUUUAAACAUUUUCUUGGUCUGCUGUUUGUUUUUUGUUAUUGUAGACGCUAGCUACUUAUUUGAAAUGAAAGAAAAAAGAAACCUCACACCCAUUUAUAUAUAUAUGUAUAUAUAUACAUAUAUACCAUGAAAAAUUGUAAAUAUUAUUUGUAUACAUUAUACAAGAACAUAUAUACCAUGUUCUGUGUAUCUAGCUGUUAUAUUUUGGAACUAGCCGCCUAUAAGCCGAGUUUUGUAUAUGUAUUUACAUAUGUAUAUUAACUGAUAUUAUGAGACUGGAAGGAGAUAAACUGGAACUACGUAUGGUAUACCCUGUUACCCUGGAUCCACAAUCUAGCUGACCUUACAAACACGCGAGCAUUCUUCUCCGGGAUUUAUUAUUUACUCAGCUUUUUUUCAUCUGCGUUAGUUCUAAGAGGCCGUUGAAUUUAAUAAAAACCAGGGCAGAAAGCCGAAUUUUACCGAACUAGGUCGAGUUGUGAACUUAUUUUUUAACGAAACGAACCUUAAACCAAACAAGUUGCCCAAGUUCGUCGUAAAAUUAUUCAUUUUCAUUAUAAUAAAUGAUAUUGUUGAAUCUUUUUUUAAAAUUUGGAAAAUGUAUAAAAACACAAAGGUUAAAUCAACACCUGUGUUCAUUGAUGUGGAACACUACGACCGUACCAGCUGCAAUUUUGUUUGGUUAACAGCCGUGCUAGAAUCUUCUGCCCACAUAUUAAAUACUAAAUAAGCUCCAAAAAUAGCGGAAAUCAAGAUUGGCUAGAAUGUUUGUAGAACAUAUAAUACUAAUUGGGUUAAGAUAAGAGUGGAUGUAUAGACAAGACCGAUUAUGCCCUCAAACUUAACGUACCAUAUAUACCUGAUUACAAGGGUAACGCAUUUUUGGGCUGUCGAAGAUAAGACAAACUUAAUGACAAAUAAAAAUUAGCAUCUUUCAAAUCAUUUAUACGAUGACAUAGGCUUAGUGCAAAGCAAUUAGAAUUUGUUAACACUGCUCUACACGAUAAAAAGUUUACUUAUGUCUUACAAAUGUUCAAAUGACAAAACUCCGCAAAUUUCAAAUACACUAAUCAAUGCAUUCUAA